CUUCUUUUUUGUAUUUAUCUCUUUAAUAUAGACGGAGCUGGAUGCCCAGACACCUGGGUAACUUUCCAUGGCAACUGCUAUUCUUUUGUAGACACGAGGCUAAACUGGUUCAGAGCAACUAACGCUUGUGAAGAAAAGGGCGCCAUCUUAGCUGAUAUAACAUCGAAAGACGAGGAUGAUUUUCUAAGGCACUAUGUACAACAUCUUCAUGCACACGAAGACCCAAAUAUCAUUGGAUA